rnacentral:rRNA from 1 species
UACGGGGGGGGGCAAGCGUUGUUCGGAAUUACUGGGCGUAAAGGGCUCGUAGGCGGCCAACUAAGUCAGACGUGAAAUCCCUCAGCUUAACUGGGGAACUGCGUCUGAUACUGGAUGGCUUGAGUUUGGGAGAGGGAUGCGGAAUUCCAGGUGUAGCGGUGAAAUGCGUAGAUAUCUGGAGGAACACCGGUGGCGAAGGCGGCAUCCUGGACCAAUACUGACACUGAGGAGCGAAAGCCAGGGGAGCAAACGGGG